rnacentral:rRNA from 1 species
AGCGAACGCUGGCGGCAGGCCUAACACAUGCAAGUCGAACGAACCUUUCGGGGUUAGUGGCGGACGGGUGAGUAACACGUGGGAACGUUCCUUUAGGUUCGGAAUAACUCAGGUAAACUUGUGCUAAUACCGAAUGUGCCCUUCGGGGAAAAGAUUCAUCGACGUUAGAACGGCCCGCGUCGGUUUAGCUAGUUGGUUGGGGUAAUGGCUAACGAAGGCGACGAUCAUUAGCUGGUCUGAGAGGAUGAGCAGCCACAUUGGGACUGAGACACAGCCGAAACUCCUACGGGAUGCAGCAGUGGGGAAUCUUGCGCAACGGGCGAAAGCCUGACGCAGCCAGGCCGCGUGAAUGAUGAAGGUCUUAGGAUAGUAAAAUUCUUUCAUCGGGGACGAUAAUGACGGUACCCGGAGAAGAAGCCCCGGCUAACUUCGUG